rnacentral:piRNA from 1 species
GUGCUUCCUAGGCCAGUGAUUUUAGCUUC